rnacentral:rRNA from 1 species
AUAGCCGGCCAUAGCGACAGGGUAAGACCUGGUCCCAUUCCGAACCCAGAAGUCAAACCUGUCGUCGCUGCCGUGCUAGUGAGGUGCACAGCCCUCGCGAAGCGGCAGUGCCGGUACCC